GGAGAGAUAUAGUCUCCAAUAGUCUCUCGUGUGGGGGUGGUGUCGGUCUGUUGUCACGCCAUGGUGACGGUAUAUGCCGAACCAAGGGGGAGAGGACCGUGGUAUGCGCCCGAUCAAUCGAUCCGAGGCAUUCUACCUUCGUCUGGUGUUCAUCGCUAGAGGGCAGUUCGGCGUAUGUCGCCGGUGGGUUGUUCCGACACCAUCAUCGACAAGGGCAGGUGAGGUGCUUGUGCGCGCCAAGGUGUUUGUUAGUUGUCAUCGUCAGGUGGUAGCAACUACUACUAGUAAUUGGGGUGAAGAGUUAGUUUUUGUUUUCCUGCUGUAUGAAUGCACAAGAUAUCCUUGCACAUGCUCUACAUGUACAACAAAGGACAAUGGGCCCCAUUAUCAUUGAUUGUAGAGUGAUAUUAUGCACUGGAUGCCUUAAUUA